GACAGAGGGUGCAAACGUUGUUCGGAAUUACUGGGCGUAAAGCGCGUGUAGGCUGCUUCGAAAGUCGGGUGUGAAAGCCCCGGGCUCAACCUGGGAAGUGCACUCGAAACUUCGGAGCUGGAGUUCUGGAGAGGAAGGCGGAAUUCCCGGUGUAGCGGUGAAAUGCGUAGAUAUCAGGAGGAACACCAAUAGCGAAGGCAGCUCGCUGGGACGGUAUUGACGCUAAGGCGCGAAAAGCGUGGGGAGCAAACAGG
rnacentral:rRNA from 1 species